AUGGUUGACCACAUCCAUGUAGCCAGCCAAGCCAUAACGAAUGAAGCAGAUUUCAAAAUCAAAACUGUUUCGUGGCGGCCAUGCUUGCUUCUCUGGCUCACUCCAAACUUUGGAUUGUGCACUAUGCAUUAUUGCCAUCUAUCUAUACUGCAAACGCUGAAGAAAGAAGGCACUGCUCACUGCUCACUUGUGUUGAGCGCUGACAGCUUCGCACCAUCAGAUCGAUCCCACAGUCCUACUCCUACUAGUGCUGUACCACAAAACUUUCUACUGAUCCAGGCAAUGAUAAUAAAUGAAAUAGAUGAGGUGCCAGCCAGAUUUGCAGAGACCACGCUGAUGCUCCACAAGCGCCACUAA
rnacentral:rRNA from 1 species